UGAGUAAUGCCUAGGAAUCUGCCUGGUAGUGGGGGAUAACGUUCGGAAACGGACGCUAAUACCGCAUACGUCCUACGGGAGAAAGCAGGGGACCUUCGGGCCUUGCGCUAUCAGAUGAGCCUAGGUCGGAUUAGCUAGUUGGUGGGGUAAUGGCUCACCAAGGCGACGAUCCGUAACUGGUCUGAGAGGAUGAUCAGUCACACUGGAACUGAGACACGGUCCAGACUCCUACGGGAGGCAGCAGUGGGGAAUAUUGGACAAUGGGCGAAAGCCUGAUCCAGCCAUGCCGCGUGUGUGAAGAAGGUCUUC
rnacentral:rRNA from 1 species